UGAUCUCCUUAUUACAAAAAUGCCACAGGAGGAAGUGAAACGGCAUAUCUGAAAUAUAACAGUAAAGCACCUGCUCUGAUGAUAAAAGUGUUAUGCCUCUUCCUGGAACUUGUUGGCUCGGUUGACCACUCCGGUGAUGCAAUGGAAAAUAGCCUCCUCUGUUUAAAUGACAUGUUGACCUGAUUUAUUUCAUAAUACGAAUCCCCAGAGGAAUGCGGGGCAUUGUGUUGACGUCGUUCGGGAAGGAAUGCUUUUAAUAAGGCUGGUAUUUUCGCCUUUUCAUCUUAGAUCACAAAGGCAUACCUGGAAUUUAUGUGACAAGACAAAGCUGUGAUCUCUGCUGCGAUCUUGUGGAGAAACUGUAAACUGCAGCUUUGCGUCAGAUCAUCUCUGCUCAGUAGCCAGCUGAGUAUUUCCUGCAUUUUAUGACACUGUUGGGCACAGAGACCCGAGAGCUUGAACACGAUCACCGCCAUACACCCACAUCUGUGAGGAGAAUAGAAAUUAAUCAACUUUGUGUUUUUCAUCAUUCAUGGCAUAAAAUGUAAUCUGGAAGGAGUCGAUUAUUUCUUAUUGAAAGGUACAAAACAGCUUCCAAAAUGUGAAAGAAUAUAAAUGACAAAUUAAACACUGAACAGUAAGAAACUUCUCGAGGAUUAAAAUAUGUCCAUUAAAAUACGUAAGCAGUUCUCCUUGAAGCCCUGAUAUGUUUUUUUGUGUGUUGCAUGACGUUGGGUGUUGGACAAGCUGCUUCAUUCCCACCCCGAUGUAAAAAGAAAAAUUGAUAAAUCAGCAGUUUCCCAACUAAUGUGAGAGGAAAAAACAUUGCACCGACCAAAGGAAUUAGCUCAAAAUGAAACAAAGAGCACAGUGUAGGGGGAUUGGCCCGGGCCACACGGCCCCGUGUUAGCUGAAUGAGUAUACUGUGGCUGUAGCUGCAGCCUUUCAAGUCACUGGGCUUUGUAAUAACUCUUGUUCUCUAAAAAUGCCCAUUAGCCAACUUGCUGCUCAUUUCAUUUCCAGGAUUAGAAGUGGAGCACAUAGGUCCCUUUGUACUUUGGAGGAAAAACACAGAUCAGCUGUACACAGCAGCGGCAUUAACCUCUCCCCUGCUCCUGUACUUACACCCUAAACUGCACGCUUGAGAGGACAGUAGCGAAAUAAGAGGUCGGAAGUACAUUUAGAGGAACUGGAGUAUCUAUCAACUUUAUACUAUUACACUAAUAAGCAGCUACAUUUCAAAGGAUUGCACUGCUGUAAUUCCAGAAAUAUAGAGUUAAAUUACCUCUGUGUUGCCAUAUGGCUAAUUUGAAUCCAAUUUAAAUGUAAAUGUAAAUGUUAAUGGGAUGAUGAUCAUCAGUUAAAAGAAAAAUCCAGUAAUAAAAUAAAUAUAUUUGUAAUUUUUUUAAAAGAGAAAGGGAUUCCGAGCAUACUACGUUUUUUUAUAGAAAGUAUAAAUUACUUAUAUUUGCACACAAUGACAGAAUUAUUUCAGAAAUAAAAUAAAAACUAGCAAGUUUCAAUAUUAUUAGCCCCAUUUUAUUGAGCCAUAGCACAACCACUGCUGUGCAAUGAUACAUUUUAACUUUGUGAUGCUCUAGCCUUGUAAAACAAGUUAAAACGGCGGGUUAUCUACCAGUUUACACACAGUAUAAAACUUCAGCGAGGGUUUGAGCUGUCACUCGAGAAAGCAUCGUGCCGAAAACAAAAGAAGUCAGUUUAGACUUAAGAAAAAUAAUUAUUGAUGCACACAAAGCAGGAGAUGGAUAUACAAAGUUAUCGCUGCAUUCCCAAGCGUCAACUGCAGUGAGGAGUAUCAUCAGAGAAUACCACACAAUAAACUGGUUAGAGAUGUGGCCAAAGACCCCAGAACCACUGCCAAGAAUCUACUGGAUAACUUGAUAGCAUCACUGGAUCACUGAACAGGAUUGGACUGCGAGGUUGCAGACUGAGGAAAACUGCUUCAAUCUAGAUGGAUGUAUGGUAAGGACAACCUGGAGAAAGUUUAUGUAUACUCUAACUGUUUCUGUUGCCUUUUGCUGUAAUCUUGUGUGAAGCACUUUGAUGGACACUGUCCUUUUUAAAUGUGCUAUAGAAAUAAAUAUUGAUUGACUGAUUAAUACUGAUUCAUAAAUAUUUUGUGUUAUUAUUCCUGUGGGGAUACUCCAGCGUGUCUGGAACUGGAAAUCUCGUCAAGACGGAAAGAAUCGUGAAGAAAGAAGGAAAUGUGAAGACUUUCAAAGAAAACUUCAACCAGCCAGUUGAAAAACUGGGUCUGAGUCAUCUCUUUGUCUUCCAGCACGACAGCGAUCCAAAACAUACGUCACUCCUGGUGAAAAACUACUUCCAGAAAACCAAAGUGAGCGUGAGUUCACAUGACAUGAGUGGGCUGCAUAAGGCCCUGACAUGAAUCCCAAUUCAAACCUGUGGGAUGAAUGAAGACAAAGCUAAAUGUCAGAUGACCAUCAAAUCUGGAGAAGCUUGAGAGAUCAUCAAAGAAGAAUAGACGGGGAUCAGGAGACGUGUGUAAACGACUUGCAUCAAUAAAACUACCAUGCCUAGAAAAGCUGAGCUAAAAAUUCAUUUGUCAUAUCCUUUUUGCGUUAUUAUGGCAAACAAUUGCUUUUUCAAUCAGCAGACACAUAGCAUUUAUCAUUUACUUGGAUAUUAAUCAAAUAUUUACUCUCCUUUAGCUUUUUGUGUUUACCAAACCAUGCACAACAAUGCUGAAAAUCUCUCUUCAGAUGCUUCGCCAGCUUGUGGCCAGCUGUCUGCCUGUCGUUUGGUGCCAAACAGUUCCAUUGCCGGGGGAGACUGCAGGCCACAUACGGUGCCUGAACUGUGCCAAAAAAGGGGGGGAGAAGGAGAAGGGAUUAACCAAUCCACAUACUUGCUCGAUGGCCUACAUCUCCGUUUCUCCAUUUAUUCUGAGCUCCUCAUCGGUGAGCCAGGGGGCUAUGAACGGGGGAGCAGUACGCGAGGUAGCUGCUACAUUCAUGAAUCAGCAGGUGAUGGAUGGAGAGGCACUUUAAAGCACUCAAAGGCUGGAGGAAUGAUGGACACAUGAAGAGAAAAGCGAGACAGGAGUCGAGAGGAAGACGGCAGAGCGUUAGGAGGGAGACAAAGGGAAGGAAUGGAGCGGCGGGAUGUGAGAGAAAAUAAAGCAAGACUGAAGAUGGAAAAGGAGAGGGAGAAUAAUAGAACAGCAAGAAGUCAAGAAGGGGUGUUGCAGCAAGCUGGGAGCGCAGUUUGCAUGGCUCCACUCUAUGGGGGACUUUAAUUACUUUUCAGCGUCACUGCUUCUCCUGGUCAUGAGCUACAUGCUCCGAUCACCAGCCUCUGAUUAUCAAGCCUUUGUGAGGGCCUCCACCCGCUGUCAGGCUGUAAUUACGUUUGCGCUGGAGAGCGUCUCAGCAUGUCAGAAAGCUUACAAAGCCAUUAUCCAAGUGCUCUCUUUUUCUGCAGGCGUGAACUCCUCUGUGCCGAGGAACUCAAAGGUGAAGGCCUUUACAUACAUCGAGUGUGUUAAAUGUUAUUUGCAGAUUUUUCUUUUUUUUUAAGGGGAAUUACUUCAGUUUCCAUUUGUUAGCACAGUGUUGAGGUUAAAGAAAGUACGUUUUCAAGGCUAACUUUGAAAGAGUAGAGUAAAAAUGGGAACUGAUUGCGAGAAUAAGUGAGAUGAUUCAUAAUGAGACUGCAUCGUUGUGAAACUCUUAACUAUGCUCAGUCACUCUUCUAAAAAAGGGAAUUGCUGCCUCACGCAACCACCUUUCUUCACUGUGUAGUUUAAAAAAUGUCUUAAAUAUAAGCAUAAAGUCAUUUCAAACACACCUGUCCCCGUGGUCACGAUGUGUGGAUACAUUUGCAGAAGGCCUUGAUCGGUCCAACACACUACACUGUGAUUCACCAACUUUCCUCUCUUAUCACCAUUUACACAUUUUUUAACUUUAUUUUUAUUUGCGCUCUUAGACUUUUCUCGUUUCUGUCCUCAUUCAAGCAUGCUGUUUUUCAUCCUCCAGCUAUACUCAAUGAAGUGUAACACCUACUGCACUUAGUACUGUCUAUAGAGUUUGAAAAAAGCUGUUUUCAUUUUGUUGCACCUCUGCAAUGCAUUAAAAAAAGUCAGCCUUCCUCUACUCCAAGAUCAUCUGAAACAUAAAGUGAGAAUUCAGGAAGCGUUUUAUGUUUCAAUCAGUGAGUUAAUGGCAUUGUUUUGUUAUGUGGCAUACCCCAAGUAUCAGCAGCAGGUCCUAUUUAAUUUGCUGUGAAAAGGCAUCUAAUGCACUGUGAUAUAUUUUAGAACAUGCAUCUGUAAUCUACACUGAAAACGCACAACUAUGUUUCUCCUUAAACUGGGGCAGCACAUAAACCUCUCUUUUCUUCUCUUUCGUGACCUCAUUACUCAAAUUGGGGUGUAACCACAGACUGUAUAUAAAAGAUGGAUGGGCUUCGGGCCGCAUCACCUCUUGCUUUGUGGACUCCUCAAACUGAAGUCUCAAUGGUAGCGUUAAGGCCACCUAGAUGUUGACUUUUUGUAGCCAAAUUUUGCCAUAUUUGAAUGUGAAAGUGUUACGUUGAGGUACGGUGAAAAACAAAGCACACGCCUCUUCAGGUCUAAGGUUUUUAUAUAUCAGGACAUAAUAAAACAAUGCAUAGCAGGCCUGAAAAUUGGGUAAAUGCAACCUCAGAUAAACAGCAGCAUGACAUAUUAUACCAUGAAAUCAUUUUUUAAACAGCAAUUAAGGUAAAACGCAGGGGAAGUAACAGCCAGGCGCUGAAACUCAAACCCACUUGGUUAAUACAUCAUCACCAAGUGUGAGCACUUCUAUAAAAACAGAAGUUUUGAUCAUUUGUUGGCCCGGA